GAAGAGCUGAACUGAAGAAUUGAACGGAAGAUCUGAGCUUUGCUGAGCUGAGCUGAGCUGAAGAUUUCAUCAAGCGUAAGUACCUAUUCCUUCUUAUUCUCAUUAUUUUUGUCAAUAUGUUAGAGGAUGAUGGUAGAAUCACAGUGUAUUUGUGUACAGAUUCCAGCUUGAGCUAAAAAAAAUUGCCCUUUUAAGUUUGGUAUAGUUUUGCCGUAAGAUUUUGCCACUGCCACAAAUUUCACAGUGUAUUUGUGUACACAUUCUUGUGUUCAAUGCUCUUAGCUGUUCAAGAAAAGAAGGGGGUGGGGGGUUCUUUUUAACUAUAGAUACUAAUAACAUCAACCGGUGUUACCACUUUUAAAUCUUUUUAGCUAGAGGGUAUGGGUGGGUUGGGUUGGAUUUGGGAGAUUUACUCUGCAGAUUAGUGAAUGAGGUCCUUUGCAGGUCAGUUUGAGUGCUUUUUCUUUCUUGUUUCCGGAGCUUGUUCAGUACAAUCAGACUCAAGUGGACAACAUUACUAAAUUAGAGCGAAGGUGAUUUUCAACAACUCUGUUAUUUUGUUUAUUUGCCCUUGUAUUGUUGAAUUAUAAGGAUUCUUUAUGAAAUGAGCUUAAAUGAAAAUUGGGUAUUGAUAUAGUCGAACCCCGACUUGUUUGACACUAAGUUGUAGUUGUUGUUGCUCUUGUAUUGCUGAAAUUAGAGGGGAAGUGACUUGUAUGCUGUGGGCUUCGAGAAAUUCUAGUAUUGGAAUGGACCCGAAUAUGGAGAAAUGGUUGUGAAAGAUUCAGACACUAACUAUUUUGGAGGGGAAGCUUAGUUGAUUGAUGAUCAUUUUACGUUAUUGUUGCUCUAAACAUGGAGUUGUGCUAUAGUGCUUAAGAGUAUUUUUGAUGGUAUCAUGUCAUUAUAGGGUAAAAAAUGAAUCUCCAUAUUAGUAGUGUCAAAUGAAUGGGAUGAUCACUUUUGAGGUAAGGAUUAGCUUAUUUUAACUUGUUUGUAUGCCAUGGUUGCUACUGUUACAUCCAUUUUAUUGAAGUCUUUCCUCAUCAAUAGGGAUAAAAUUGCUAUAUUUGCUGACACCUUGUUCUUGUGGAUGGAACUGUUGGUUCUGAUCAUUAGUUACCUUUAUUUUUUUUUAAAAUUGUUGGUUCUGAUCAAUUAGUGCUAAAGAAAAGGCAUUAAAGGAAGGAGGUGGAAUAUUAGUUUAAUUGUUUAAAAUACUAAAGGAUAAGCAGAAUCUUCCACAAACUUGAGCUUAAAUUUUUCUGCCCUUUUAGGUUUGAAAUAGUUUUUGCAGUAAGUUCUUGCCUCGCCACAAUUUCACUCUGUAUAUGUGAAUGCAUUGUUCUGGAUGUUGAUGCUUAUCCGGAAAUUAUGUUAAAGGAUGAUGGCAAAGUACCAAAGGAUAAGCAAAAUCUUUCACAACUUCAGCUUAGAUUGUUUUGCCCUUUUAAGUUUGAUAUAGUUUUUGCCGUAGGAUUUUGUCAUUGCCACAAAUUUCACAAUGUAUUUGUGUACACAUUCUUGUAGAUGUUAAUGAUUUUCUAGAAAAUAUGUUAGAGGAUGCUGGCUAUGCUGUAAAUGAUGUUGCUUUGCUAUCUUCAGACCGAAGCAUUUGUAUAAGAAUAGGGAGUGCACAUUAUUCCACAAUCUUAAAUGCUAAUUCUCGUAAGGAUCCUGCAGCUGCUCUAUGUACCUUUGAAUCAACAAACUCAAGAAGUGGAGGGAUACCAUGGCCUUCAGUCCUAUAGUCACAAAAUAAAAUCAAAGCAAGAAAAAUAGGUAUUAUUUCUAUAGAUGCUUCAAUAACAAUGUUUUCAGAUAAGAAUAAUCAAACCUAACAUGAGUUUUUAUGCUACUGUUCUAAUGAGCAAGAUUGUAACUGUAUCAGUUGCCCGUUGAAUAGCACCAUUGACUCCUCAAGAGUUCUAAGCAUUUAUGUGCCUCUUCAGCAGAUUAAGAAUAUGAUGCAAACAACAUUAAUAACAAGACGAGACAAAGCUACAACAGAUAAAGAAGAUAAGAUAAAAUCUUUUGCAACACAGUAAUAUAGAGCUUUUCAAAUUGAAGUUUCCUCCACCUCACUUUUUGUUGUAUCUAGGAGCCUCUAGUAUGUCUUAUAACACAUUCCAUAGGAACUCUUACCACUGUUUCUUGUCAUUACUGGAUAUGAAUAUGUAGUUAACAUCUUGAUCAAGUUUUUAAGUUGAAGCCUAAGGUGAUUACUUGAUUUACCAAGCAUUGUCUUUGACUGUUG
rnacentral:lncRNA from 1 species